AGAGGGAUGGACAGGCACGUGAGUGGAGCCCUUGGCCUCAACCAGGAAGUGCUGAAAAACGGCCAACGCCCAUCCUAAUUCCCUGGACAAUGUAGGAGGUGUUUUGAACCUUCAACACAUUUAACAGACUUCCUAAAGUCAAACUUCAGCUUCAAAAAUUGUCUUUCCUAACCUCUAGCUUUUGGAUGCUACAGAGGGCUCUUGGAGUAUUCAAAAGAAAGGUAAACAGGAUUAUUUCACAUGUUUAGUUACAUGGGAUUGCCAAAAUAAUGUUUAAUCUUCUUCAGGUUAUAUUUCAGUGAAUAAUAUUAAUAUAUGUUCCAAAAUUGUAUGGGAUUUUAAAAAUUCUAAUGUCUGAAUAUAUGCUAUCAAUCAUAAUUAAGUUUAUUAUGUCAAGUUAUUGUAAACCACAGAAAUAACUACAUUUCUUUGUCAAUUGUGUUUUUGACUGUAACUACCCUGGAUAUUUUGUCAUUCACAGAUAAGUGUUGCCUUGCUUUAAUCCUUUUCAAAAGAUGGUUUAUAAUCAGCUAUAGGACUUUGACAGGUGCUGUUAAAUGUAGGUUUCUGAUAUCUCUGAAGAUUGUAAUAUUGGAACAAAGGAAAAAUGUACAGGACACCUGAAGAGUUGAAAUGUUCAUGGAUAUCAAACAGAAUAAAAGUUAACAGAAUGGACUGAACUAACAGAAAACUGAAGUAAUCUUUUUAACCUUUGUGCUUAAAUCCUUGCUGAUACUUGUUUUGUUUCUCAGAAUCAAGGAAACUUAUUUUGAGCUAUUUACAGUGUUUAAUAAUUGAGUAAAAUAUAUACCUGUGAACAAAAUUUCAAACAUAUUUGUUGCUCUCUGCCUGGCUUCUCCAGAAUUUGAAAACUAUUUGUGAGUAUUCUUAGCUUAUGGCAAUAUACUUAUUUGCAUUAGUGCAAUAAGAAUCCAUUUUCUUUUGCAACAGGACACAAUUGGAGAAACUGGAUGUUUUACCAAGGCUUUGGCUGGAAGGAUAUGCUUCCCUUUAAGGAAUCAAGUUUGACUUGCAGAGGCAAUAAAAGCCCCCUGGGAAAACUGGCCUCAUACUUUG
rnacentral:lncRNA from 1 species